rnacentral:ncRNA from 1 species
AACGCAUUGCCGCCGGGUAAUGCGGUUCUAAACGCGCUGGACUCACGCCGUCAGGCCUUAGAAGGGGUGAGUCUCGGCGCGGUUUUUUAUU